AUGGGAGCACUGGGGGAGGAGAUGGCUGAGCUCCAGGACUUUUAUGAUGUCCCAUUCGAAAGGCUCACAACCCAAUCCUGGGAAAUCUGGGUUAGAAGAGUAAGGGGGUGGUUUUUGGCCACAGGGCUCUGGAGUAUAGCCCAGAAGGAGCCGGCCCCACCCAUGCCAGUUGCUGCUGAAGAUGGCGCAGCAGACCUGGAGGCUGCUUUGCUGGAAGAUAGAGAGCAGAGAAUGCAAAGAGAGCUCUGCAUGUUGAGAGCAAGUGUGGACGCUAUGCUGUUGCCCCACCUGGAGGGCGUUGAGUCGGCUCAGGCCGCCUGGCAGGUGCUGAGGAGUCUGUGUGAAAGCUCAGCAGGAGCCCAGGGCCGGGAGAAAGCUGAGAGCAGGGAGGAAGCUGAGAGCCCAGAGGGGGCUGCUGGCCAUGUUCCUGACGUUAUAGCUGGGAGUAGCUGCUUUGUCUCCGAGGGGCCGUGUGAUGUUGAGGCCUACAACCAGAGUGCUGGGGAGCGUGCAGGCCCAGGCUGUACACCCAAAGGUGGGGGUGCUGGGAACGCAGAAAUGGCUGAAGAGGGAGCUGUGAGAGCUGUUGCUACAUGCCGCCGCUGUUAUCGCUGUGGCUCCCCCUCCCAUCUGGUGAGAGAAUGUCCAGUGGAGGCACAGGAACAGCCGAAGGCCGUCUCCCGUAGCAACCAGAUAAAGGGCUCUUCUUCAAAGCGUGGGAAAGGCAAGCCGAAGGCAGCUGGCAGAGACACUGAACAUAAACAUUUGGCAGCGUCUAUGGCUACAGUCAAGAGUUGUCAACAGGAUGCUGUGCUGGCUUUUGUCAUAGACAGUGGAGCUUCCCAUCAUCUUGUGCCAUCUGCAGGAUUUCUGGAGAACUGCACCUCUGUAACUUCUGGGAAGACUGUCUGUUUAGCAGAUGGGACUCGACACCCGCUCACGCAGACUGGCUCACUGUUUUGUUCUUUCUUACAGGGUUCAAUCCAGGCUUUUGUUGUUCCAGGACUGUCUUGCGCGUUGCUGUCUGUCAGCGCACUUCUUGCUGAGAACUACAGAGUGUGUUUUGAAGACAAUAAGUGCUCUAUUUCUAAGAAUGGACAGCACCUAGUCAGUGUUGAAUGUAAAGACAGGUUGUUUGUAUUGAAUGCUUCUUUUGCAGGUCCAGGUGGCAUGAAGGAGGCUCAAGCACAGUGUGCCAACGUUCCAGUUCAUGAUGCGUGUGCUCACCUCUGGCACAGACGCAUGGCACACGUGUCUUGGGGGUCAGUGAAAAAGAUCCCAGAGUGUACGCAAGGGUGCAAAAUGAAAUCAUGUGCUAAGUUUCUAGAUUGCAGAGCGUGCAAGUCCGCAAAGGUGAAAACGUGCACAUACCCUAGGUCUGAGAGGGUGACCACUAGGGCUUUUCAGUUAAUUCAUGCAGAUUUGUGUGGGCCGAUGUCUGUGCCCAGUAUGGGAGGAGCCAAAUAUGCGCUGGUUCUGAUUGAUGACCAUACGCGCAACUCCUGGACCUUCACGAUCGGACACAAAAGUGAAGCUGCACCGCUAAUCAAAGACUGGAUUGCGGCUGUGGAACUGCAGUUUUCCACACGGGUGCAAAACUUUCAGAGCGAUUGCGGUGGGGAGUUCACCGGGUCUGCACUGCAAAGUUUCUUCCGCAAAAAGGGGAUUCAACACAGGUUGACUUCUCCGCACAGUCCCCAACAGAAUGGGAUUGCAGAAAGACGGAACAGGACUCUAGGGGAGAUGUCCGCAGCUCUUUUGUUUGAUGCCGGGCUCCCACAGCGUUUUUGGGGAGAGGCUUGGCAAACGGCCAACUUUGUUUUGAACAGGUCGUUCAAUUCAGUGGUAGGUGACACCCCGUACUUUUUGCUGCAUGGAAAGCAACCCAAAGUUCACUAUUUUCGCGUUUUUGGUUGUGAAGCGUGGGUUUUGAUACCAAAAGCCAAACGCAAGAAAGGUGAACCCAAGUCCCAGAAGAUGAUUUUUUGUGGGUAUGAGCCAGGGACCAAGGGGUGGAGGUUUGCGUAUCCGUCAGGGAAUCAGUCCAGGAUUCUGCUCAGCAACAGUGCUGAAUUCUGUGAGCAGAGUGGCUGGGCAAGGAUACAUGGGAAUCCUGACAUCCUGUCAGAGAGUCUGCUUGACUCUGCUGAUGAAGAAGAGGAAGAGGUUGAACCUGCUACUGAGGCUCAGAGUCCAGACCCAGUGCAGGCAGAGGGGAGAACUUCUCCCAAGGCUGUGAAGAUUGAGCAACGCAGUGCUCCAUCUUCCCCCACAGGUUCGGCUGAGAAGUCCAGAAGGCGCAGUAAGUCAGAGGGGGAAUUCUCUGAUGCCAAGGACGUUCUGGCUGGCCCUAGUGGGUCAGAGGGGGUUCCUGAAGUAGUGCUGCGUCGAUCAGCUCGGACGACCAAGGGGAAACCUCCUGAUAGGUUUGCCGUCACUAGCGUGUGGGUCGGAAUGGCACAGUGUGAACCCGAGAGUUUUGAGAAUGUUCAGAAACUGCCUCAGGAAGAAGCCAGAAAAUGGCAUGAGGCGAUGCAGAAGGAAAUGAACUCGAUGGAGUCGCUAGGUGUGUUCUCCCUCACGAAGUUGCCGGUGGGCAAAAAGGCCGUGGGUAGCCGCUGGGUUUACCGUCUUAAGCCCACAGCGACAGGAGAACCGCAGUAUAAGGCCAGAUUAGUGGCGAGAGGAUUCACGCAGCGCAGGGGGUUGCAUUAUACGGAAGUUUAUGCUCCCACCUGUAGGAGUGAAUCUCUACGUUUGCUCUUGGCCAUCGCUGCGCAAAGAGGGUUGCUGGUGCAUCACUUUGAUGUGGAUGUUGCUUACUUGAACUCAGACCUCCAGGAGGAUCUGUACAUGCUUCCUCCUCCAGGGUUUGAGGGCAAUGAGCAAGGUACUGUGUGGAAACUUCACAAGUCAAUUUACGGCCUGAAGCAGUCGGCCAGGAAUUGGAACUUGUGCCUGAAUGAAGCUUUGGAGAAGCUAGGUUUCAGGAAGAGUCUUGCUGACAGUUGCCUGUUCCUUAGAGGAUCAGGAGACUCACAGGAACUGGUUUUGUUUUAUGUUGAUGACAUCAUCCACAUUGGAAAGGCAGACAAACAGGUGCAGAAGUUUGCCAAAGAGCUUGGGAAGCGGUUUCAGCUCAAGAACCUGGGUGCAGUAAAGAUCUACCUAGGUGUCCAGAUAGCGAGAACUGAGGAUGGUAGCUUCUUGCUCAGUCAGAAAGGCAAGAUUGAGCAGUUGCUUGAGAAGUUCAGAAUGUCCGAUUGUGCAGGAGUUCGGACACCCAUGGAGACGAACUUCGUGAAAGAGUGCCAGCAAGCAGAAAGUGCUGAGUUCGAGAAUGCUGAGCUCUUUCAGUCAGCUCUAGGUAGUCUGUUGUAUCUAUCCCAAUGGAGCAGACCAGACAUUGCCUUUGCUACCAACCUGCUAAGUAGGGAAGCGUCAAAGCCCAGUGUGAGUGCUUGGCACGGUAUCAAGCGGGUACUGCGCUACCUGCAGCAUACCAAAGACUUCUGUCUUAAGCUGCCAGCUGAAGGUGAGGCAAAGCUCACAUGCUAUGCGGACAGUGACUGGGCGAAUUUGCAGGACCGCAAGUCUGUGUCUGGGUUGGUGCUAAAGUUUGGGAAGUCACUAAUUGGGUGGAAGUCCCGGAAGCAAAGUCUCAUUGCGCUGUCUUCUACUGAGGCUGAAUUCAGUGCACUGUCAGAUUUGUGCCGGGAACUAGAGUUCUAUAGAUGCUUGGUGCAAGAGAUCUUUGGGGAUUGUAGCUUGCCCAUCACGGUUUGGGAAGACAAUCAACCUUGUUUGAAAUUGGCUGAAUCUGCGCAAUUUAAGGCCAGAACCAAGCAUCUGGACAUACGUUUCCAAAAUGUGUGUCAGAGUGUUCAGUCAGGUUUGAUCCGGUUGAAGUAUUGUGCCAGUCACAAUAACUUGGCCGAUGGAUUUACCAAACCUUUAAGCUUCCAGCGUCAUGGGGAGUUUUGUGGUGGUUUGGAGUUGGGGGUAAGUUCUGUACAUACUUUCCCCACAGUAGCGCAGGACGAGAGGGGGUGUGAAGAGAACCUGAGCUUACAGGGUUAA
rnacentral:lncRNA from 1 species